CGCCCAACAGCUAGCCCACCCAUCAAUCCCAAACACACCCUAUUAAUACCCCCAAACACACCACCUCCUAACAAACAAACCAUUUUUCCACCUAAGUACGGGCGACGAAAAAGGACCCAGGAGCAACAGAGAAAGUACCGCAAGGGAAAGCUGAAAGAGUAAUGAAACAACCCAGUAAAGCACUAAAAAGCAGAGACCACCUCUCGUACCUUUUGCAUCAUGAUUUAGCCAGAAACCCUUAAGCAAAAAGCAUUGUAGUUUAAUUCCCCGAAACUAGGCGAGCUACUCCAAGGCAGUCUAAUUUAUAGGACACCCCCGUCUCUGUGGCAAAAGAGUGGGAAGAACUUUGAGUAGAGGUGACAGACCUACCGAGCCUAGUUAUAGCUGGUUGCCUGAGAACUGAAUAGAAGUUCAGCCCUUUAAAUUCCUCAUUCCCGUUGGUCCAAGACCUUCCCACCGAACAAAAGAAAUUAAAGGAGUUAGUCAAAGGGGGUACAGCCCCUUUGAAACAAGAUACAACUUUCCAAGAAGGGUAAAGAUCACAACAAACUUAAAGGUUUAAUGUCCUAGUGGGCCUAAAAGCAGCCACCUACUCAGAAAGCGUUAAAGCUCGAACAUUACACAACCAGCCUUCUAAUAAAGACAACACAAUCUCACCCCUCUAAACCUACCAGGCCGUUCCAUAAAAGUAUGGAAGCGUUAAUGCUAAUAUGAGUAAUAAGAGAGCCCCUCUCUCUCCCCGCACAAGUGUAACUCGGAACGAACCAUUCACCGACUAUUAACGGCCCCAAAACAAAGAGGGACUUAGACAAAAAACAAACAACUAGAAAACCACCUAACCCCUAACCGUUAACCCCACACUGGUGUGCCAAUCGGGAAAGACUAAAAGGAAAAGAAGGAACUCGGCAAACACAAGCCUCGCCUGUUUACCAAAAACAUCGCCUCUUGUACCCCUAAAUAUAAGAGGUCCCGCCUGCCCUGUGACUGUAA
rnacentral:rRNA from 1 species